GUGCUCCGACCGGCUCACUCGGUUCUGCUGCUGCAGCACAUCUGAAGUGUCGUGGUUAGAUGACGAGAGCGAGCUUCCUCGACAAAGUCACAGCCGUUGGAGCACAAGGCUGCGGACCUGAAGCGCUUCAAGAGGACAAAAAGAGUGAUAGCUGACGAAUCCGGGCACCGGCGGUUCCUCUCUAGAAGAGGCGAUGAUGAAAGGAGAGCCAAGGGGAGGUCAACAACACACGACCGGCCCGAGGAGCCCGGCUGAGAAGGCGGCAGCGCCGUGACGGUGAUGCUGCCCCCCCCCCUGAAGGUGCUUUGCUGUUUCACGGAGGAAUGAAACUACGAGAUUGGUUUACGGGACUGAGCUGGAAAAAAAAAGUAGUUCUGCUCAGCGGUUGCAAAAAACCCCCCAAAAAACAAGAUGGCGACGGCCAUGUGUUUUAUGUUGAAUUUUCUUUUGAUGAACCAAACUUUAAACCUUGCAAUAUGAAGAGUAAAGAAGGUGCUGUAUGUAUUCUAAGACAAGUACACAAUCCCACCAGUCAAAUACUGUUAAUACUGAACAUUGGGAGAUGUUGGUAUCAAGCCUCUGCUCACUGUAUUACAUCAUCACCAUCAUUUCCCACUCCUCCUCUCUCAGCCGCCCACAUUGGAAAUGAUUUGCUCAAGUGAAAUAUCCCCUUUAAUCCGCUCUGUUUACGGUGGCGAGGAACCCGGUGAGACGGCGUGACGCAUUCUGUGCGAAACCCUGUGGGCGCCGCGCGGAUCAUCUCGCCACAGCAGACAAACAACAUCCCACCCGUCACUCUGCUCCAGCGCCUCUGCAGGCGGCGUUUUUCCCCAUCCCCACCCUUCCGUUAACAAGCGCCUCGUAUUCGCCGCUGCUCUCCAGCACGCGGGGAGGAGAUCCGGGUGGGGGGGGGGACACAAGCAGGCCCGCUCCAGGAACGGCGUCGGCGAGGACGUGUCGCAGGCUUCGCUCCUCAAAGCGAGGCCGUGCUUUUGAUGCGUCACAUCUUAAACGGCAAAAAGGAACAAACCGCAGCCUCGGACCAGCUCGUUGUCAUGCGGCGUGCACGUGUGUUCCCCACUUUUACACGUUGUGCGUGCGCUUUUCCCUGAACUUGUGAUUUUACAAUGUCGGCCUGAGGCCUCCCGCCCCGGCGCCACGCGGCGGCGGAGGACGUUCUUUAGUGGAGUGACACAUGGGUCUAUUUCAUCCCUCCGGUCAGCGCGCACAAAGAGAGACACACAAACACGCAAGUAAUGAGUAAAACACCGUAAAGCGUUACAGCGGAUUCACGCGGCCAAAGGUGUGAACGAAACGUAACUCCGGCUGCAUCAUCGAUGACGCACUGAUGAGGCUGCAUUGUGCGGCGCUGCCGCGGCGUUACACAACUCUGAUACGGGAGCAAAUGAUGAGGCACUUUGGGGUUAGUGUGCUCUCUUUGCUGGUUUCCUUGUUCCCUGCAGCCUUCUUUCCCAAAAUCCCAUAUUCAUCCUCGCCGGAGUGGGGGGGGGGGGGGGGGUCCUUCCAUCACAGGCUUUUGUGCGAUCGUGUGAUUGUGUGCGUUGAUUAUUGAGUCAGUACUCAUCUAUCGAUGCUACUUUUCUAACAAUAAAACCUACUUAUUCAAAGGAGAGGAGACAUUCUUUCACUCGGUUGGACUGAUAUGAAAUAACAUAAAUAAAUAUGGAUUCCUAAUGCGUC